rnacentral:lncRNA from 1 species
GAGGAGUCAUUUGUUGUGUUUUGAGUGAAAUACAAUCCCUAGAACUAUACAAUACACCAACCACUCCAUUUCAUAACGAACUUGGUACGAACCUGAAUUGUCAAAUUUCGUGGAGCGAUCGAUAUCGGAUUGAGUCCAAAACUUGGGGAACAUCAUAAUAUUCUGGGAGGAGUCAUUUGGUGGGUUUUGAGUGAAAUACAAUCCCUAGAACUAUACAAUACACCAAC